rnacentral:lncRNA from 1 species
CUGUGGCACAAUGUUAUUUUCAUGAUUUUUUUGAAAAUAAAAAGUAGUACAUGGUCUGGACAUGCUAGCACGCGAAUGCUAUUAACCAUUCAACGGCAAAUCCAUGCGACUCCAACAAUGCAUUUAUUAGCGGGUAAAGAUAUCUGACAGAGACGUCGACAGGCUGUACGGAACGCUCAGUGCAGAAUAUGGAGGAGGAAA